AAUGGACAACACCAAAUUUAAGUAUUAGAGCCAAAAGCAAAUCCAUAAUCAAUUCAGUCCCCGCUGCAGCAUAUGUUUCGGAAGCAUUAACACAGUACUACUAACUAUGAAUAUUUAAAAAGCCUAAAGUCGCAUCAUUCCCUUAUCUCUAAACUUUUGUUUUAAGACAUGAAGUAUUUAAGUUCUUAGCAAUAAUGAGAGAUGUUACACAUUGGCUCAAACCAGCGCAUUUUUGAAAGGCCAAAUCUCUUAGGAUUGAACUCUUAGUAUCACAAAACUGCUAAUACUAAGAGUUCAGUACGAUGUGUUUCCUUCUAGAAAAGUGUAGAAACAAAUGACAUCGCUCUGUGUGGUGUUCGACGUUAUCACGAGAAGCUUAGCUGGGAGUUAUCUUGGGCGUCCAUUGGUUGGCAAUCCAUCUUGAAUGCGCAUAGGUGAAGAAUUAUAAAAAGUAGAAAAAAAAACAACAGCGAUGCUAUCCAUAUUCUCCGCAGAUUGCAGAGAUGCAUAACAAUCAAAAUGUUUUUAAUUUUUCAGCCCAAUUUAAAAUUGGGUUUUCUAGGGCCUCAAGAAGUCAAAUCCGAGUAUCGGGUUUUAAGAGGCUAUAUCUAUUUGCGGUGCUGGGAGAAACUUGGUUUGUUGUUGUACCAGUGUAUUGUGCACCGAGGCGGCAGCCCUUGCUGAUGAAGGAUUCCAUCGGGUCAAUCCGUUAUUGUUGUAGCAGUCUAUUGUGCACCGAGGCGGCAGCCCUAGUCGAUGAAGGAUUCCAUCAGGUCAAUCCGUUAUUGUUGUAGCAGUCUAUUGUGCACUGAGGCGGCAGCCCUUGCCGAUGAAGGAUUCCAUCAGGUCAAUCCGGUACGUACAACCGGCUGCCAUGAUAUUGCACUUUGUUUAUUAUCCGUCACUAAAACAUAGUUUUUUCUUCUUUAAGAAGUAUUUUAAUGGCCUGUUUUUUUAAAUAAUUAACUGAUUUCAUAUAAUGUAUUCAGUAACUAUUUAUUUUUUAUUAUAUUUUUUAAAUUUGUUAAGUAUACUAGCUGAUGGGGAGUUUCUUCAUACGGGGAGCAAAAUAUUAGUUUCCCUUUACCGCUUAUUGGGCCUUGUUUAUUUUAAAAUUCGGCUUUUAAUUCAUACGAAAUAAUGCCUCAAAUUUGCGAUGUAUUUAAUAUUAAGUGAAGCUUUUAGAAAUAUUUUUUGCGAAUAUAUACUCGCGUGUUUAAGUAAGAAUGAAACCCGCGUUAAAAUUGAAUUUAAAGGUAUUUUUUUGCAUUAAAUUUUUAUUACUGUUGUUAUGUUUUCAAACAUACAAAUCCAUUUUCCUUUGUGUUGAAUUAAUUAGAAAUGGAAAGAAUUCAGAAUAGUGAUAAACAUGCAUCAAGUCGUGUUGGCCGAUAUAGUACGUAUUGCUUACAAUGAUUUGGUCUUCUAUAACGUUUUUUACUUAUUUGUUAUUUGUUGUUGUUUAUUUAUUUGUUUUUUUUUUUUUUUUGGGAGCCAAAUUUUGGAUUCAUUGAAAUUAUUUGUAUGAAUCUAUACCUUGAGCUUUAGCAUAAUUUUUCAAGCUUUAUUUUGUUAUUGUAUUAUAUUUUAUUGGUCUUGUUGGAUUUGAAGUACAAAAUGAAUAAAAAUAGAUAACGUAACAACACUCCAUAUAGUGCUCACGCACAUAGCUUAAAUAAAAAAGAUUUUGUUUCGGACCAAUCGUUAUAACCCUUGAACCAAGAACACAAGGUUAGAAAGGCUAAAUACAUUCUGGAAUUCUUCAUCCAAUGUAAAGAGUUCCCGAUCACCACUAUAGACAAGUCAAUGUACCGAGAUUGACACUGAAUCGCCCCUGGUGAAGGACCGCGAAAGUAAUAGAAACAAGUUAGGAAAGGCAGAAGAUAUGCGGUGCCGACUACAUUAUAACUUAAAAUUAAACUUUGUGUGUUAAUAAGGCGACGUCUUUAUAGGUAGGUAAACAUAUAAAACAUAUGGUAUGAAGUUCUUCAUCGGCAAGGGCUGGCGCUUCAGUUACUUUUGAGAGAGAUCCUCAAACUCCCAAACAAAUUUCCUCAAAAAAUUUCAACUGCAAAAUAAAGCAAUACGAACUAUUUCACAGGUUAACACCAAUAAAUAAUAUGUUGCAUACCUAAAAAUGGUUAACAAUAAAACAAAGGCUGGCCCUAAACACAUUAAAAUUAGUACACAAAAUAAAAAUCGAAAUUGCACCAGACUAUCGCAGAGACCAAACCUAAUAUGUUGGUAAUGCAUAACCAUAUUUCUUACGCAAUGAUGGAAAUUUCAGACUGUCAAGGGCAACAACAACAGCGUUAAAGAAGACACUAUUCUGCAAAGGAUUGCAGCUUUUUAAUUCAUUGCCGAAAGAAGUAAAGCUAGAGGCCAAUACAAACCCCCGGCAACCCCAAGGCAGCCGGUUGUACGUACCAGAUUGACCCGAUGUAUUUCUUCAUCGGCAAGGGCUGCCGCCUCAGUGAACAACAUACUGCUACAACAACAAGAAGCCCCCGGCACGGGAUAACUAUGAGCAUCACACAAGGCUGUAACUUUGAGCUCCAAUCUGUGUGGUGUUCUUCGUUAUAACGAGAAGCUUAGCAGGGAGCUACCGGGCGCGUCCACCGGUUGCGGGUAGUGGAACGGUCCACACGCAGUAGCUUCAGUCGCGGACAAUCCGCGGUAUCGAGUGGAGAGUCUCAGUUUAGAAUUGAAAUAUCCACAAGAAGUUUCUUUCUUAAUUUAAAUAACUUGAAUUCCUAUUUCAACGCUUUAUACAUUACCUAUGUGGCACGAGGGCCUUUUUGCUUAGCGCUUAAAACAUAAGACAAAUUACGUAUACCGGAUAAUGGAGGCCAGUACGAUUUAUUCCCGAAACCACAUGUGGAUACAACAAAAUCAAAUAGGGCUAAAAUAAAAAAUAUUAGGGAGUGAAAGAAGGCUCAUCGGCGCGGGUCCGGUUCAGCUAGUUUUAAAUAAAUAAAAAUUCAUAUUUACUAACAUUGUCAAAGAUUUAUAUAGUUGAUUUUUUCGAUUUUAAUCUUGUCUUUCAUUUUGGUGUUGUUGUAACAACUUGUUCAUGUGGAGGUGGCGAUCCUCCUCAAGCUCCUAUAGGUGAGCAACCUCGUUCCGGUCCAAAGGACCGAUCGUCGCGGGAACAGAGUGGCCAUUGGUUAUUUACACCAAAAACUCGCCUUGUCAUAUCGAGCGUCAUAGGCACUCAUCAUUUGUGCAAAAGCCGGCGCCACCCGGCCUCUCACUAAGACUCUCCGCUCAAUACCGCUGAUUGUCCGCGACUGCCGUUGCAGCUACUCCGUAUGGAGCAUUCCACUAUACGCAACCUGCGGUUGCGUACGCGCACGGUAUUUCGCCGGUCCUCAACUUGUGUGGUGCACACAGCUUUCCGGUGCCGGGAUAGUUAAUAAGCCGCAAAUAAAAAGUUGUUUCUAAAUGGUAUAUUCAUGGGCAAAUUUACAUACAGCUGUUGCCAUUCUUUGGACAAGAUCCGGGAAUUUCGUAUCAUGGGUGGUUUUGGUUGGUCAACAUUUCUCC